UCCACUCACAGCAGGAAACAGGUGUGAGACACCGUUAAUGGAACCGUGUACAUACAGUAGGAUUCUUAUUUUGAUGAAUAGCACACUAAUAUAAAGUUAGAAAAGUGUGUUUAUUUAUUUGAAUUUAACAUGAUUGCCUUUUUCAUUAUUUCUUUACUUGGAAUUUUCAUUAUUUAUUUUUUCUCAUUUUUCAUUCCUUCCUUUUUUUUAAUUUAAUUUUAUUUCACAUUUUCCUCCAUGCUGGUUCUUUUACUUGUCAUGUGUUGCUUGAAAAAACAUUCCAUAUGUUUGCAUUAACAAGUAGUUUACACAAAAGGUUACAGGUGUAAUGACAGGAGCACAAUUGUGUGAUUGACGUCUGUGUUUAUAGUAUUCACUUAGUAUAUAUAGUAUGUCACUUUGUGAGCCAAAAGAACACCUGUGGAAUCAAUCUUGGUCUUGUUUUUAAUCAUGAAGCCCCUAUAUUAAGGGUUUCUUUUAAACUUUUGUAAUUUAAAAAGCAACCUUAAUACUAGUGGCUCCAUGAUGAAAA